GAGAAAUGAUUCUUGGUUUUGAUUCACAACUUUUAUAUGUGACUGAUCCAUAUUGUACGUAUAUUCUUUUCCAGGCAAUUUCAGAGGUUGGGGAGGUCCCCUGAUUAUUGGGAUUUGUUGCCAAGUAUCCUUGGUGAACCGUAUCUUCAAUUGACUCUUGUUUCCUUNCUGCACUUGUUACAAAGCAUUAGAGGUGUUUUUCAACUUUUAUAUAUGNUUUAAAACAAAGAUAUGGAAACACAAAUCAAAGACAAAAUAAAGGAAAAAAAAGACAAGAGAAUAUCCUUUCACACAAAAAAGACAAUUCAUACCCAACUUACAUAAAUAUUCUCAGACAAACAACUACUAAAAUAUAGAACAACAUCCCUUAAGGAACGAUGAAGUCAUUGAAAUGAUGUAAUCUACAUGGACUAAAGAAGAACAACGAUUGUCCCCACUAGCUUUGAGUAAACAUUCAUUUUCCUUGUCUAUGCCUUUGCCACCAAUUUAUAGCCCAAAAUUUAUACCCUGCAAGAAGGACUCUCUAGUCCAUACAUCCGGAAACUUGCUUAUAUAUGUUAGCAUAGUAAAAAAGAUAUUAUGUAUAUGGGUAAUAAGUAUUAUAAAAUGAUGUCAUGCUAAGUUGCAUUGCACCGAAGAAUUUGAAAAACAUCAUGUCAUGAUUUUGGCUGAGAAUUAUCAAGGUUAGCCAACAAUAACAUUCCCCACCCCAAGCAAGCUUGUUAGCUUAAUCUAAAGACAGCAUAAAGUGAAAGAUCAUAAACAUAUGUGAAUGGGAAUGUAUGCAUGUGAAACCAAGGUGAGA
rnacentral:lncRNA from 1 species